rnacentral:rRNA from 1 species
GACGAAUCAUCUGGAAAGAUGAAUCAAAGAAGGUAAUAAUCCUGUAGUCGAAAAUGUUGUCUCUCUUGAGUGGAUCCUGAGUACGACGGAGCACGUGAAAUUCCGUCGGAAUCUGGGAGGACCAUCUCCUAAGGCUAAAUACUCUCUAGUGACCGAUAGUGAACCAGUACCGUGAGGGAAAGGUGAAAAGCACCCCGGAAGGGGAGUGAAAUAGAACCUGAAACCGUGUGCUUACAAGUAGUCAGAGCCCGUUAAUGGGUGAUGGCGUGCCUUUUGUAGAAUGAACCGGCGAGUUACGAUUUGAUGCAAGGUUAAGCAGUAAAUGUGGAGCCGUAGCGAAAGCGAGUCUGAAUAGGGCGUUUAGUAUUUGGUCGUAGACCCGAAACCAGGUGAUCUACCCUUGGUCAGGUUGAAGUUCAGGUAACACUGAAUGGAGGACCGAACCGACUUACGUUGAAAAGUGAGCGGAUGAACUGAGGGUAGCGGAGAAAUUCCAAUCGAACCUGGAGAUAGCUGGUUCUCUCCGAAAUAGCUUUAGGGCUAGCCUCAAGUGAUGAUUAUUGGAGGUAGAGCACUGUUUGGACGAGGGGCCCCUCUCGGGUUACCGAAUUCAGACAAACUCCGAAUGCCAAUUAAUUUAACUUGGGAGUCAGAACAUGGGUGAUAAGGUCCGUGUUCGAAAGGGAAACAGCCCAGACCACCAGCUAAGGUCCCAAAAUAUAUGUUAAGUGGAAAAGGAUGUGGCGUUGCCCAGACAACUAGGAUGUUGGCUUAGAAGCAGCCAUCAUUUAAAGAGUGCGUAAUAGCUCACUAGUCGAGUGACACUGCGCCGAAAAUGUACCGGGGCUAAACAUAUUA